GAUCGGUAAGCGUCUUGUGAAAUCCCCCGGCUCAACCGGGGAAAUGCAGGGCGAACUGCCAGUCUUGAGGAAGGUAGAGGCCAGCGGAACGAUCGGUGGAGCGGUGGAAUGCGUAGAGAUCGAUCGGAACGCCAAAGGUGAAGACAGCUGGCUGGGCCUUUCCUGACGCUGAGGCACGAAAGCGUGGGGAUCAAACAGGAUUAGGUACCCUGGUAGUCCACGCCCUAAACGAUGCACACUAGACCGUUGCGGCUCUGACGUCGUAAUGGUCGUAGAGAAAUUGCUAAGUGUGCCGCCUGGGGAGUACGGUCGCAAGGCUAAAACUCAAAGGAAUUGACGGGGGCUCACACAAGCGGUGGAGCAUGUUGCUUAAUUCGAAGCAACGCGAAGAACCUUACCCGGGUUUGACAUACACGGAUUAGUUGGUGGAAACAUCAAUGAGGCCCGCAAGGGUACAACGUGAACAGGUGCUGCAUGGCUGUCGUCAGCUCGUGCUGUGAAGUGUUUGGUUAAGUCCAUUAACGAGCGCAACCCUUGUCGUUAGUUGCUACCGCGUCAUGGCGAGGACUCUAACGAGACUGCCGGCGUCAAGCCGGAGGAAGGUGGGGAUGACGUCAAGUCCUCAUGGCCCUUACACCCGGGGUUGCAAACGUGCUACAAUGGUGCGCACAAUGCGAUGCAAGGCCGCAAGGCGGAGCAAAUCGCAAAAAACGCACCCCAGUUCGGAUUGCAGGCUGCAACCCGCCUGCAUGAAGUCG
rnacentral:rRNA from 1 species